UGGGGAAUUUUGCACAAUGGGGGAAACCCUGAUGCAGCGACGCCGCGUGAUUUAGAAGGCCUUCGGGUUGUAAAAAUCUUUUCUAUGGGAAGAAAAUGACAGUACCAUAGGAAUAAGGACCGGCUAAUUACGUGCCAGCAGCCGCGGUAAUACGUAAGGUCCGAGCGUUGUCCGGAAUCAUUGGGCGUAAAGGGUACCUAGGCGGGUAAGCAAGUUAGAAGUGAAAUCCUAUAGCUCAACUAUAGUAAGCUUUUAAAACUGCUCAUCUUGAGGUAUGGAAGGGAAAGUGGAAUUCCUAGUGUAGCGGUGAAAUGCGCAGAUAUUAGGAGGAAUACCGGUGGCGAAGGCGACUUUCUGGCCAUAACCUGACGCUGAGGUACGAAAGCGUGGGUAGCAAACAGG
rnacentral:rRNA from 1 species